UGGGAGAGUCGCAGGGAGGUGCUCAGACCUCAGGUUUUGGCUAUCCAGAGUAUCCGAUGGGAGGUAUGUCGGAGUACUCUAGUUUUGUCCCAUAUCCUUCUUACAUGCCAUAUAUGCCUUAUCCUCCGUACUAUCCACCAUAUCCUAUGUAUCCAUCUUCCCCUACCCAUCCAAGUGCAGCACACCCAGAGCCAAAUGAACCAGUACCACCACCAGAACCAGUAGCCCCUGUUGACAGACAUCAACCUAGCUCAUCUGGAGGUAAAGUGCAAAUGACGGAGUACUUGAAAUUGGAUGCUCCUAAAUACAACACGGGAGAUGAUCCAUUU
rnacentral:lncRNA from 1 species